UACAUAGGGUGCAAGCGUUGUCCGGAUUUAUUGGGCGUAAAGAGCUCGUAGGCGGUACGGUAAGUCAGAUGUUAAAACGCAGAGCUCAACUCUGCAUCGCAUUUGAUACUGCCGAACUUGAGUAUGGCAGGGGAGAUCGGAAUUCCACGUGUAGCGGUGAAAUGCGCAGAUAUGUGGAGGAACACCGGUGGCGAAGGCGGAUCUCUGGGCCAUUACUGACGCUGAGGAGCGAAAGCGUGGGGAGCGAACAGG
rnacentral:rRNA from 1 species